GAUGUGUUGGAAUUCAAGACCGAUAAUGUUGGUGGUAUUCUAAAAAUUGAAGUCUGGAGAGAUGAUACAACUGGGAAAACCAAAUUUCAGACUAAUAAUUUGAAGCUAGACUGGAUCACAAUUGAAAAGUACAGCCAACCCGAAGUCAAGAAAUUCAAAUUAUGUGAAUGGAUCGAAACAAAGAAAAAGACAUUUUAUCCUACUGAGUGUAAUUAGUUAUACAUAAAAAUGGAAUUAAAGCAUAAAACGUAA